rnacentral:rRNA from 1 species
UACGUAGGGUGCAAGCGUUAAUCGGAAUUACUGGGCGUAAAGCGUGCGCAGGCGGUUAUGCAAGACAGAUGUGAAAUCCCCGGGCUUAACCUGGGAACUGCAUUUGUGACUGCAUGGCUAGAGUGCGGCAGAGGGGGAUGGAAUUCCGCGUGUAGCAGUGAAAUGCGUAGAUAUGCGGAGGAACACCGAUGGCGAAGGCAAUCCCCUGGGCCUGCACUGACGCUGAGGAGCGAAAGCAUGGGGAGCGAACAGG